rnacentral:rRNA from 1 species
UGGGGAAUAUUGGACAAUGGGCGCAAGCCUGAUCCAGCCAUGCCGCGUGAACGAUGAAGGCCUUAGGGUUGUAAAGUUCUUUUGUCAGGGAAGAUAAUGACGGUACCUGAAGAAUAAGCACCGGCUAACUUCGUGCCAGCAGCCGCGGUAAUACGAAGGGUGCUAGCGUUGUUCGGAAUCACUGGGCGUAAAGCGCGCGUAGGCGGCUUAACAAGUCAGAGGUGAAAGCCUGGAGCUCAACUCCAGAACUGCCUUUGAAACUGUUAAGCUUGAGUGUCGGAGGGGAUAGCGGAAUUUCUAAUGUAGAGGUGAAAUUCGUAGAUAUUAGAAGGAACACCGGUGGCGAAGGCGGCUAUCUGGACGACAACUGACGCUGAGGCGCGAAAGCGUGGGGGACUAC